CACCAGCCUCCAUUGAAUAGCAACUUCAACUACGAAUAAGAUUGUGACGUCACAAUGUUUGCCCCGUUCACAGCCAAUCACAAACUGGAUAGCUCCCUUAUUUAAGUGAUUUAUACUUAUCUUGAAAUAGCAUUGGAAUGUCGAUCCUUUUGCUCUUGUAAACACUAUCAGCUGAUGACAGUUUCUGUUGCUGCCAAGUUGAAUCAGUUGAUUAAUAACUCAAACUCCGAGGGACUGCGCCUAUACAAAUACAACCUUGUGAAUGUUAAUGAAACGAAGAAAAUAGCUGUGGUAAAUAAAGGAUAGAAAAUACUCCCUGUACCUCGGCAAAAGAAGUUUUAUUUUUGCAUCGGAAUCGUUAAAGGUCUGCAGAGGACUGAGGAUGGCGGCCGAGGGUGUGAAGCGCGGGACAUUCGUAUGCCCGUCCAUACACACAGUGUCAUCUUUCAAUGCCAUGGAGGGCAAGCAGUAUCAUCAGGAAAUGCCAAGGACAACUACUUUCACUCAGUUACCUGGAACAUUUAGAAGCAGAAUGAGAAACAGCAGUGGGAUACUGGGUUCUAUUCAAGCAGACAGUGGGUGAUAUACAAUGAAUUAUUAAAUUGUGUGUCCUGAUAGCUCGAUCCCAUUCUAAGAACCUCUGCAAAAGUCAAGAGCUUUGUUCAAGAAGUCACCAAAAGUCCUGAUUUUCAAGCAAAGGCAUCUAGGAAAUAUCAUGAACUGACCUUUCUACUGGUUAGUGAGUAAGUCUGUUCUUCUGGGCAGGAUUGCUGGAUAUCAAGCUUUGUAGCAAAGGCUCUUAAUCUGGAAGAGUUAAUGGAGUAUUCCUGAUGCAUCAGUGAGACAUCAGGGUUCCCUUUCUUAGAAGCUUCAACAAGGAUUUGUGAAAAUCUUUAAGGGAAACAAAAUAUAUUGAGUGCUUCCCUUUCAACUUCAACCUCAGUUGAACUCUGAAUUCUUGAGAAAGCAUCAUGGAGCUUUGAAGAAUGCAUUGCAUGUUCAGUUUGGAUAAACUAAGUAGGUAGCCACCAAGAAAAAAACUUUUAUUUUUCUGUAUAGAUGCAAAGUUUUUGGAGUUUUGACUGUUAAUACUCAUUGUAGACUUACUGAUUUCUCCCUUAAUCCAUAAAUUUGAAUAAAAGAGUAUCUUUAGUGCAUUUAUUUGUAGGUAGAUGUUAUCAUUGUAAUUUGACACUGGUGGAAGCAAAUAAAUACUGUA